rnacentral:rRNA from 1 species
GACGAACGCUGGCGGCGUGCCUAAUACAUGCAAGUCGAACGGUCUUUUCUAUGGAAGCUUGCUUCCACUGAGAAGAUAGUGGCGAACGGGUGAGUAACACGUGGGUAACCUGCCCAUAAGAGGGGGAUAACAUCCGGAAACGGGUGCUAAUACCGCAUAGUUUUCUUGAUCGCAUGAUCGAGAAAGGAAAGACGGCCUUUGUGCUGUCACUUAUGGAUGGACCCGCGGCGUAUUAGUUAGUUGGUGAGGUAACGGCUCACCAAGACGAUGAUAAGUAGCCGACCUGAGAGGGUGAUCGGCCACAUUGGACUGAGACACGGCCCAAACUCCUACGGGAGGCAGCAGUAGGGAAUCUUCCGCAAUGGACGAAAGUCUGACGGAGCAACGCCGCGUGAGUGAAGAAGGUUUUCGGAUCGUAAAACUCUGUUGUCAGAGAAGAACAAGUCGGAGAGUAACUGCUCCGGCCUUGACGGUAUCUGACCAGAAAGCCACGGCUAACUACGUGCCAGCAGCCGCCGUAACAC